rnacentral:lncRNA from 1 species
AGGGAACAAAUAAAUUAAUUAAAAAAUUUAUUAUAGUAAAAACUGAAUUCCUAAAAUGCAUGUAAAAACUCAAACUUUUCAGAAGACAUAGCAUAACAACAUCAAAAUUGAAUUAAGUGAACACAUAAAUUAAUUAAAAAAAUUGAUAAUAGUACCUGAAAAAACAAAAUUACUGACAAAAAAAAAACCCAGAAAGGAACUAAGUUCAG